rnacentral:rRNA from 1 species
CUCAAUGAAAUUUCAAUAGCCGCAAUAUAUUUGUGCUAAGGUAGCAUAAUCAUUUGUCUUUUAAUUAAAGACUAGAACAAAAGAUUUAAUAUUUUUAUUUCUUUCUUAUCCAUUCAAAUUCAAUUUAUCUUAAAUAUAAAAAGAUAUUUAUAUAACAAAAAGACGACAAGACCCUAUUGAACUUAACUAAUGUUUAACUGGGGUAGUUAAUUAAAGAUAAUUUUAAUUUAAAUAUAAAAAAAUUCUAAUACAAUUAAUUUAAUCAAGUUACCAUAGGGAUAACAGCGUAAUAAUUUUCUAUAGAUCUUAUUUAAAAAAUAUUUUGCGACCUCGAAGUUGAAUUAAU